UUGGAGGGCAAGUCUGGUGCCAGCAGCCGCGGUAAUUCCAGCUCCAAUAGCGUAUAUUAAAGUUGUUGUGGUUAAAAAGCUCGUAGUUGAACCUUGGGCCUGGCUGGCCGGUCCGCCUCACCGCGUGUACUGGUCCGGCCGGGCCUUUCCCUCUGUGGAACCCCAUGCCCUUCACUGGGUGUGGCGGGGAAACAGGACUUUUACUGUGAAAAAAUUAGAGUGCUCCAGGCAGGCCUAUGCUCGAAUACAUUAGCAUGGAAUAAUAGAAUAGGACGUGUGGUUCUAUUUUGUUGGUUUCUAGGACCGCCGUAAUGAUUAAUAGGGACAGUCUGGGGCAUCAGUAUUCAAUUGUCAGAGGUGAAAUUCUUGGAUUUAUUGAAGACUAACUACUGCGAAAGCAUUUGCCAAGGAUGUUUUCAUUAAUCAAGAACGAAAGUUAGGGGAUCGAAGACGAUCAGAUACCGUCGUAGUCUUAACCAUAAACUAUGCCGACUAGGGAUCGGAUGAUGUUAAUUUUAUAAUGACUCAUUCGGCGCCUUACGGGAAAC
rnacentral:rRNA from 1 species